CCUACGGGGUGCAGCAGUGGGGAAUAUUGGACAAUGGGCAAAAGCCUGAUCCAGCAACGCCGCGUGCGGGAUGACGGCCUUCGGGUUGUAAACCGCUUUCGCCUGUGACGAAGCGUGAGUGACGGUAAUGGGUAAAGAAGCACCGGCUAACUACGUGCCAGCAGCCGCGGUGAUACGUAGGGUGCGAGCGUUGUCCGGAUUUAUUGGGCGUAAAGGGCUCGUAGGUGGUUGAUCGCGUCGGAAGUGUAAUCUUGGGGCUAACCCUGAGCGUGCUUUCGAUACGGGUUGACUUGAGGAAGGUAGGGGAGAAUGGAAUUCCUGGUGGAGCGGUGGAAUGCGCAGAUAUCAGGAGGAACACCAGUGGCGAAGGCGGUUCUCUGGGCCUUUCCUGACGCUGAGGAGCGAAAGCGUGGGGAGCGAACAGGAUUAGAUACCCGAGUAGUC
rnacentral:rRNA from 1 species